AGAAGCUUGUCUCUGCCACCAAGGAGGGUCUCAAACUUGACGAGAGUGAAGAUGAGAAGAAGAAGCAAGAGGAGUUGAAGGAGAAGUUUGACAACCUAUGCAAGGUGAUCAAGGAUGUUUUGGGUGACAAGGUUGAGAAGGUUGUAGUCUCUGACCGUGUUGUUGAUUCACCAUGCUGUCUGGUGACUGGAGAAUACGGUUGGACUGCAAACAUGGAAAGGAUCAUGAAAGCUCAAGCCCUAAGGGACAACAGCAUGGCAGGAUACAUGUCAAGCAAGAAGACAAUGGAGAUCAACCCUGAGAACCCAAUCAUGGAGGAGCUCAGGAAGCGUGCGGAUGCUGACAAGAACGACAAAUCCGUGAAGGACCUUGUUCUGUUGCUGUUCGAGACUGCUCUUCUCACUUCUGGUUUCAGCCUUGACGAACCCAACACUUUUGGAAACAGGAUCCACAGAAUGUUGAAGCUUGGACUGAGCAUCGACGAGGAUGCAGCUGAAGCUGAUGCUGAUGCUGAUAUGCCCCCACUGGAGGAGGAGGCUGAAGCUGAUGCUGAGGGCAGCAAAAUGGAGGAGGUUGAUU
rnacentral:lncRNA from 1 species